rnacentral:rRNA from 1 species
GUGAGGAAUUUUCCGCAAUGGGCGAAAGCCUGACGGAGCAAUGCCGCGUGAAGGAUGAAGGCCUAUGGGUUGUAAACUGCUUUUGUACGGAACGAAACGGUCCUGGCUAAUACCCGGGGCUAAUGACGGUACCGUAAGAAUAAGCACCGGCUAACUACGUGCCAGCAGCCGCGGUAAUACGUAGGGUGCGAGCGUUAAUCGGAAUUACUGGGCGUAAAGCGUGCGCAGGCGGUGCUGUAAGACAGGCGUGAAAUCCCCGGGCUCAACCUGGGAAUUGCGCUUGUGACUGCAGUGCUGGAGUGCGGCAGAGGGGGAUGGAAUUCCGCGUGUAGCAGUGAAAUGCGUAGAUAUGCGGAGGAACACCGAUGGCGAAGGCAAUCCCCUGGGCCUGCACUGACGCUCAUGCACGAAAGCGUGGGGAGCAAACAGGAUUAGAAACCCUGGUAGUCC